GAAACUCAUAGAAUGGAUUAUGUUCUGGACCUAAAUCGGUUACACAAGCAGCUUCUGAAAAAAGAUCAACAACUUCUGGGGUUUUGAUUAUAAAACCGUAAUUGGAUUUAUCCAACCAGGAUGCAGGAUGAAGGAUCCAGGACAUAAAUAUAUAAUAAAUCGCAGCAUGCCAGGAGUACCUGCAAACAAGGAAUUUUAGCCUGGAUGCGUAGAAUCUACUCGGUCAAAUCCCCCUCUAGCUCUUUCGGGCCUAAUUUAAGGAAAACCUUGUCCUGUAAUAGGUUUACCUGUGAAUAGUUUUAAAAUAGGUUAUUUAAGUUGUUUAGAUUUAUUUAUUUAUUUGAUAUUAUAAGAUUUAUUGUAAUUUUUUUAACAGAUAAGUCUAGCACAAGUUGUAAAUGGCCCGGACGCUAUUUUUUUUAGAUUUAAAAUUAGUGUGACCAGGUAUGCAUAACAAAAAAGUAUGACCGUAUUUUUCGAAAUCGAU